CGGAGGAAAAGAAACCAACAGGGAUUGCCUUAGUAGCGGCGAGUGAAGCGGCAAAAGCUCAAAUUUGAAAUCUGGCACCUUCGGUGUCCGAGUUGUAAUUUGAAGAUUGUAACCUUGGGGUUGGCUCUUGUCUAUGUUUCUUGGAACAGGACGUCACAGAGGGUGAGAAUCCCGUGCGAUGAGAUGCCCAAUCCUAUGUAAGGUGCUUUCGAAGAGUCGAGUUGUUUGGGAAUGCAGCUCUAAGUGGGUGGUAAAUUCCAUCUAAAGCUAAAUAUUGGCGAGAGACCGAUAGCGAACAAGUACAGUGAUGGAAAGAUGAAAAGAACUUUGAAAAGAGAGUGAAAAAGUACGUGAAAUUGUUGAAAGGGAAGGGUUUGAGAUCAGACUCGAUAUUUUGUGAGCCUUGCCUUCGUGGCGGGGUGACCCGCAGCUUAUCGGGCCAGCAUCGGUUUGGGCGGUAGGAUAAUGGCGUAGGAAUGUGACUUUGCUUCGGUGAAGUGUUAUAGCCUGCGUUGAUGCU
rnacentral:rRNA from 1 species